rnacentral:rRNA from 1 species
GACGAACGCUGGCGGCGUGCCUAAUACAUGCAAGUCGAACGCAGUGGGGACGGGUGAGUAACCCGUGGGUAACCUCCCAUCAGAGGGGAUAACACUUGGAAACAGGUGCUAAACCGAUAUUUAUGGAUGGACCCGCGGUGCAUUAGCUCGUUGGUGAGGUAACGGCACACCAAGGCCAAGAUGCAUAGCCGACCGGCAGGGGUGAUCGGCCACCCUGGGAUGGGGACACGGCCCAGACUCGUACGGGAGGCAGCAGUGGGGAAUCUUCGGCAAUGGACGAAAGUCUGACCGAGCAACGCCGCGUGAGUGAAGAAGGUUUUCGGAUCGUAAAACUCUGUUGUUAGAGAAGCGGUAUCUAACCAGAAAGCCACGGCUAACUACGUGCCAGCCGCCGCGGUAAUAC